rnacentral:rRNA from 1 species
UACGUAGGCAGCAAGCGUUGUUCGGAGUUACUGGGCGUAAAGAGUGUGUAGGCGGCUUUUUAAGUUUGGUGUGAAAUCUCCCGGCUCAACCGGGAGGGUGCGCCGAAUACUGAGAGGCUAGAGUGCGGGAGAGGAAAGUGGAAUUCCUGGUGUAGCGGUGAAAUGCGUAGAUAUCAGGAGGAACACCGGUGGUGUAGACGGCUUUCUGGACCGUAACUGACGCUGAAACACGAAAGCGUGGGUAGCAAACAGG